rnacentral:rRNA from 1 species
UACGUAGGGUGCGAGCGUUAAUCGGAAUUACUGGGCGUAAAGCGCGCGUAGGCGGUUUUGUAAGUCUGCCGUGAAAUCCCCGGGCUUAACCUGGGAAUUGCGUUGGAGACUGCAAGGCUGGAGUCUGGCAGAGGGGGGUAGAAUUCCACGUGUAGCAGUGAAAUGCGUAGAGAUGUGGAGGAACACCGAUGGCGAAGGCAGCCCCCUGGGUCAAGACUGACGCUCAUGCACGAAAGCGUGGGGAGCAAACAGG